rnacentral:lncRNA from 1 species
CCCGAAUAUACAUACACUAGUGAAAAAAGUAUGGUUUAUGUUAAGAAGAAGAUACAUUAGAUUUAUUUAGAAUGGCUGAUUACGAACAGUCGAACAGGCUUUAACAUCUUCUAUUCAUCAGUUAAAGUAUGAACAAGCUGAUUUGGUGAAAUCUGAUGUGUUGAAUGCAUUUAGUGUGUUUGUCGACUUGGAACAUACAGAGGAAAUAUUUGUAUUAGAAUCAGGAAUAUCGGCCUUAGUUGAUGUAGCGUUAACGAUUGCGCAUUAUCAGAAAACAGAGAGUGGCGGGUGGGUUGGUGUGGUGAUGGAGCCUGGCGAUACAAGACCCACAGUUAAGAAUAAAAACAAUAAAAACAACAUUGUAAUAGUACUGCGAUUCGAAAGCAAACAAAAUAUAUGAAUCUCACUUGUUUUUUACUU